CUUUGAUUUCGCUAAAUCCUCGAAGGCAUCCUCCCGCGAAGACGUUUUCCAGGGUCAGCAGCAGAGUUCCGUAAAUAAAUUACGCUUAAUUGCGACAAAAGCGCGGCUCUUCGAGAUUCGGUCGAAUUCGCAACACGGGCCGAGUUAAUUGAGAAACGUUGGAGCUUGAACGCGAUAUAAGCGAGUGUUCGUCAAGACGGAGCUUCAUUAUUCUCGAGUUGUCACGAUUCGUCCCUCGUCGUCAGGGAUAAUUAUCUCGGAACGUCGAAUAAUUCAAUUAACCCUUCAGCGACGUCGCGUCGCUCGUUCGUCUUGCGAAUCUUACUGAACGGUGAACGUUGAAUCGCUACGCGUUGGAUGUCAAAGUGUUGGCGCGUUCGAUAAUCGUGUAACCGUGCUACAGUUGGGACACCGGUGGCCUUCAACGGUUUAGAAAAUAGCGACAAACAACGGAAUCAAACCGCAUUGCGGCAAAUCCGAGAGAAAAACAUAAUUAUCGCAGGAAAACAUGCAUGGUCAUAAUAAUUAAUAUGCGCGAGAGAUAACCGACGACACGAAGGGGACGAAUUUAUCGGCGCGGCGGCGAGAAAAACGCGCUCGUUUGUUGGCGCAACAUUAGCGGGGAAAAUUCAUUGGGGCUGCUACCAAGAGUUAUGGAGAACACGUGCCGUUCCUCGGACACGCCGGCUACCUGGACUGUUAUUCUCCACGAUUUACUUCGACAAGGACCUCGAUGAGAAGCGUAACCACGACUCGACGACAUCCUCGAUUUGUCAAGUGGACCCUAGGAGCUCUUUGUCAUUUUCUUUCUUCUGUAACACGGUAACACGGGUAUGGGAAACGACGAAGAUGCCACCAGCUGCGCGUUCGGUGUCAGAACGACGAAAAGUGCCGCUGGCAGAGGAUUAUCCAGAAAGUCCAGCACCGCGUUCCUAUAUUCCUCGGUAAGUAGUAAUCUACCCCAUUUCUCUGGCUUCAGCUUCAACGAUUUCUGCACAAAACCUCCGAUGUAUUCCAAACGAAAGUCCGUUGGUCCGUCCGGAGUAGCCAUUUCUGCUUCGACCAACGAGAGAAGUUCGUAUUAAUAUUUUCUAACUAUUAGAUAUAUGCAGUAACGAUUUAAUCGAAUGCGCGAAGAAAAAUUGUAUAGAUGUAUCCAUCGUCGAAGCAGUUGAACUCGAAGGUAGGAGCAAAAUGGACGAUCGAAAUAAUCGAACUACAAAAUAUGUAGUAGACUCGUAUAAAAAGAGAGGUGGUCCGAUAGCGAAAAUGCCAAUCGCUCGUUGGUCGCUGUGCAAGCAGGUCAAGAGACCAGGCACCGACUAAACCCGACAAAACGACCGGGUUUCUGGCAUUGGCCGAUCGUGUCUUUGAGUCUGCUCGUUGCCUUCCUAUUGUCACGGGACGCACGGAAUAUCCAGAAGCAACUGACAUCGCACGCGAUCCUGUCUUCCGUGUACUGGCAGCUACCGUUCUUCCGUAGUUGCCGUGGAACGAUAUCGGUUCAGGUUUUGCUUCGAGGCUGCUCUUUCCUCGCUAGGACAAAUAAAUCGAAAAUAGAAACUGGACUUACCGACACGUAAGUGAAAUUGCGUUGACUGCGCUUUUCGACCUAUUACGAGUACGUUGAUCUAACGUUCUUUCGAACGACUCGCGAUUCGCUUAAGUUUAUAAUAGAAAAUUUUGCAACGCGAACGUAGACUUUUUUCUUCGAUCGGGUCUAUUUACGAUGUUACCGGAACACUGCGCAAGUGGAAAACUAAGCGAUUUUGAGCAAACGGUGCAUCGAAAAUUUGUUUCUUUACGGUGUUCGAUCGAGAACAAUGAAAGGGGGAGGUUUAUCGCUCCAUCAGCCUCGAUGAACGAAAUCGUGGAUCGUGUUCGCGUCGAGCACAAUGCACCAGGGAGAAAAACGUUGUCGUUCGAUACGUUCGACGGGGACAAAGUUAGCUCCGAUCGGAUUCGAUCGAUCGACCGUAAAAACGUGGAAAUUGCGCUGACGUAAAAAUAGGAAGGUAGGUUGGCGCAGCUGUUUGCCCUUGGACUUCAGCCAGCCAGAAAUGGCCCUAUUUCUCUGUCGUUAAAGCCUCUAUUUCGCUAAUAGAGACGAAGAGAACAGAGUCGAUAAUGGAUUCGGAGAAAGAUCAAUAGCGAUCGCGAUAAUCGAACGUUUUUAAUCUUCGAAUGGAACCGCGCGGUCUUAUAGUCUGAUACGAUGAUUAACGUUCACAUAUUUUACUUAUUAUUCGAAUUAGAAUGUUCAUCAUAUGUAUAUUUGAAGAAAGAAAUAAUUUUCUCCUGUUUAAAUCUCGAUCUGUUACGAGGUGAAAUUUUUGAUCGGCUCAUCGAUAGGACAGCCUAAUUAUUGUUCGAGUUACAGCCCUUUCAUAACACUUUAGAACCGGUACAAUAGACAGAAGCCGAGAGAAGUAGAAAAAAGCAGCAGCUUGCGCGAACAUCUGCUCGGGCAGAGGCGGUGUUACGCUGUUAGGUAAUUUCGAAGCUCGAAGAGCAUAGCCGAUCAAACGUCGGAAUUAAUUUCUCCCGUCAGAUUAGCUGUCUGGCAUUUCCCGAAAGGCACGAGAUUUUCCGGUGCUCGAGCACACGGCCGCUUUUCGAGCAACGUGCACACGAAUGGACGACGAGAUCUCUUCAGAGAAACGACUCGUGCGCGUUACGCACAAAGGGAACGGUCGUGCUUUUCAUUUCGCGGCAACUCGCCCUUCGUCGAAUUAGGAGCCAAAAAAAGUACGACCAGCACCCUCCUACCGAAUCGCAUUCACUGCAGCGAAUUUCAUUCUCGUCGGAUACUCGUCGCGUAAACUGGAUCGAGACGUAGCCAGGAAUUUUUACCGUUUCUUUGUCACUAUCGCGAACGGAUCGAUACGUUCGCUAUGGACGACGACGUAUUUUUUCGAUAGCUUCAUUGAGUAUUUAAUGAUCCAUAUUAGCGUAUGCUACAAAUAUCUAUACCGAUUCGAAUAGUCAGAUAAGACGACUCGAGGUUUAUCGUCAAUCGCUAUCGAAUGCUCGUUAUUCUCAUCGUUGCCCGAUCCGUCUCCGAUAACACGACAGUGAAUUAACUGUGUUCUCGAUCAAUUCGUGCUUUGGUCGGUACAAUAGUACCGUUUGCAUCGGUACUGCUGCAUCAUCAAUCACUCUUUCUCAGAACUUCCGUCCCUAAAUUGAAAUCGUCGAGUGGCAAGGCGAGAAGAAAAAGGGCAAAGAAGGAUAAAGAAUAAGAAGAGGAGAGAAGACGGCUCCGAGUGUCGCGUCGCCCAAACAAUUUGCACCGGGCGUGGGUAAUGAUUUCGGACGUUAUCUACCCCUGGGCGAAAUUUGUCCCGGUUCCCUCCAUUCGUCAUCCGCUCCGCGACUUCCUUUAUCGCGACAAACGGACCGUACGGAUGAUCGUGGCCCACAACGGAUCAUCCGGCGAGUCUCAACCGGAAGUAGAGGAGGCUUCGCUCGAGACGUUUCGCCCUUUUUGCUUCGACGUUGACGCGUCGAAAAUUGAUGAUCGCUACCGAGUCCCGCGGCUAUUUCUCGUUGUCGAGCUUUCCAACCUUCGAACAACGCGACCUGCUGCCUUCCACAGAGCGAUUUCUUAUUUACGAAGCUUUUCGACUCGCUGUCAUUUUUCACGCAUGCUUCGUCUCCCGCUCAAAGGAUCUACACGCUCCUGCGUUAGUUCUUCUUCGAGCGGUCCAACGUUUUUCCAAUCUUCCGUUGCACGUAACAAAAAAUAGGUCGUGCGCGUAAUCGAUUCGAUCGUUUAGUUUUUUUUCGAAAUCUCGAGUUGUCAUUCCUUGGUGAAAAAAAUCUCGGUUCUAAAAGUUGCUGAACGAACCGUGCGGAUAAAGAGAAAAGGGACGUUUCCACGUACGUUGGAUGAAGUUAUUUUCGCUUAAUCCGGAAACCCGUUUCAAAGAACAAGCCGAGAACAAAUAAAAAGUUGAACUCGAGCCCUAAUCGAGUGGCGGCAGAAACUCUCGCGAGAAGCUGUUCGCGAAACGCAUCUGGCGAAUCUGACGAUGGAAAGUUUCUCGGAUAGGGGAGGCUUUAAGCUGGUUCGUGAACAGGGGUGGUAAGAUGUCACUCUGCGAGCAUGUACGCGCAUAUAUGGCAGGCUGACGGACGAUAUUAUGAUAAUCCGGUCGGCGUAUAUUGACACUCCACUUCGAACGCGCCGAGGGAGUACGUUAAUAAGACGCUGCCUUCGAAAAUACCCCACGAGGGAGAACGUGAGAGAGAACACGUGCUCCACGAUCCAGAACAGAGUCCUUUUCUUUCGAAUCUUCUUCGCUCGCAAAAUCGCUGAUUCGAGAACUAAUCCCGACACCCGAUUCGACAGGAUCAUCGUUACGUCGCGUGAAAUUUGCACGAAGGCAUCUUUUCCGAAGAAAUUUCGAACCGAAUCUAUCAACGUUUCAGUUCGCGGGACGCGAUGAACGGAGACUAGAAUCAUGGUUUGUAGUCAGCCGCGAACAACGAUAUUCUGAAUUAUGAAUGUGUCGAAGGGCGUUGCCUUUCUCUACACUGUAGAGUGUAGACCUAAGGAAAUUCUAGCGAAACGAGGGAUAGAGAUUUUACCAGGGCAACGACGGAACGUUCCUGGCCACCAGCCAAUUCGAUCUCACGGUCCGUCUCGUUUUCGGAAUUGUACUAUUAGAUUUACGGAAAGCGGCUCAGACGCGUGUUUAGAUUUGUACGGAACAUUCAGGGAGUAGUAUCGCGAUCGAACGAAGCGGUUUCUUCGUUAUUUUUCUCGCUUCGUACGAUCUUUAUACUUUCCUCUAUACAUAUGUAUAAUUCGAAAGAGAAAGUCUAACGCGUCUUAUGCUUACGAGAUAUUGGUUCGAAGCUCGACGUUUAAACAAGACGAAUAUAUAAACGACUCAAUGGCAUUUUUCGUACAAAAUAAUUAUAAUUUGCCGGUCUCGUUCGAGACGGUCGCGCCGUGUCGCGUACAGCCUUUUCCAAUUUUGUGAAGCGGCCGUUGAACGCGUCCUGCAUGCUCGCCCGUUUUAUGAGUUUAAUUUGGAACGCAGACGACCGUCACGCGGGACAGCACGAUCGUUGUUUCCAAGGGAAAUUCGUUGGGAAAUUCAGGACAAGACCAUCGGAGACCCGAAAACUCGCCGCGACGACAACGCGAAUUUGGCAACAGCUGCGGUUCUCUCGGAACACAGGGUUAAAUUAGGUUGCCGGCUCUCCUAAAUUCGCUCGAUGCAUUGUAAUUAAAGCUGCUUGUUACUUUCGCACGACAUUGCAAGACCAUUUGGAAGAAAAUUUACUUGGUAAGAAAUGCGAGAUAACGUUGAACCCGCUCGAGGUACACGCGUUUACAUGACUGUCGGGUUAAUUCAUAACCAACGACUGUCUCUCGAGCAACGACGUUUCUCCUACUUCUAAUCUCUUCGAUGAUUUACGACCGAGAUAUUCCGGUAGUUUUGAACUUUCGUCGGGAUUGGAGGAAUGUAACGUCGUCCGGAAUUGCCGAUAUUAACUACAACCGCAAUGCACCAGGUAAUUUUUGCCAAGUACCGAGAAGAUUGGUAUCGUUUCGGACGACACGCAAUAUAAAAAGUUCGAGACACGGAAACGGGAACUUCGAUUUCGACGUUAUGCCGGUCCGAUCAAACCCGAUCUUUUCUACUGGCACAGUUGAACCUACCUUACCGUGUUGUUCACGAAAACUGCGAUCCUCCUACUCGAUACUUUGCAUUACAUCGUUACUCAACGUUAUUAACCUUUUUUAGAAUACAGGUAUUAAAUCCGUGCGUACGACUUAUCGAUCCAAGGACCACGUGCAUGUUCCUUAGCACAAAGUAAACGACGCGUACUUCAGAAGCAGUUCGAAAGAUUUUCCUCGACAUCGUCGACAACAGAUUUCGCGACGACUCGGCAGGAAUACAAAAGCAAAGAGCUCCCGGCUAGCAACUUCUCUCGCUCGCUAAUUUCCGGCGGCUCUGCCGACCCACGAAAAAGAUCAUUAAAGUUCGCCACCAGUUACCAUCUGGUUGCCGCGUGCUUGCCGUGAAAGCGGACGAAUAAGAAUAGAACGGAGAAAAAGACGAAGCCGAGACGUUUCGGGGAGGAACUUAAUCCCUGGGGCAAGAGAAAUUUCUCUCUUCUCGAGCAGCCAGCCAACCAGCCAGCCACUUUCCCUGGAAAUGCCCUUGGCGAACGUCUGGGAAAUUCUCCGAGUUAAGCUGCAGCAAGCUCUCCAUUUUCGCCUACUUCAGUCCCUCUCAACAGGUUACCUGAGUUUCUACUACGGAACUGCAUCCUCGUUCCUCCUUCUACUCUUUUCUCACCCCUUUUACACAACGACCGGCAUUUCGUCGACUCGAACUAAAGGGGGUUCACGCUAGACGAAAAGCUGCAACCGCCCCGUCGCUUCUCUUCCCUUCUUUCUCUCGGCUAUCUUCUAGGGUUGGCUGCAUCAAGAGUCAUCCUCGUCGUCUUAACGUUCCUGUCGUAUAACGCGAAGCGUUGCCAAUGGAAAGUCUAAAUACAUCUCCCGUGGAUUUCGGACUAAAGAGAGAUCGACGCCGAACAAAACCUGCCAAAUGGUGGAAGUGAAGCUAAACGAGAGAACUUUUUUAACUUUCCGUUAAAAGAACCGCUGAUCGAGGCAGCGAUUUAUCUCGAUAACGUAAAUUAAAUUAAAUUCAAUUAAAGAGAUUGAAUAGCAAACGGUCGAAAAAAAUAAGAGGAAAAAACUACAUCGUCCUUUUUAACAGAAACCUGUACGACCUUAAUUUCGUCGAGUCGCGAAAUAAUGGAACGAUAAUUGAAGCAGCACAGCUUUGUUUUAGCCCCACGUGGCAUUAAAGGAGCCAGAGAUUCGACCCGUGGGAGAGUUACGUCGUAUUUCAUUCUUUCAGCUUUCUUUGCUUUUCUCGACCGCAAACGAUACAAUAUUACUAUUCGAGGCAAUCUAGAAACAAGAACUAUAAACGCAAUUUAAAGCGCGUUUUUCUUCCUAUAAAACCCACCUAUUUUUCUUUCUGUCUCAUUUUCCUCCGAUUCCUCGACGUCUUGCGAGGACGAACGGGAUGGUAGCAUCGAUCGAAGCAAUUUCUCGAACUCUUCGAGCUUGUCACCGCUAGUAAUUUGUUGACGAGAUAACGACGUAAUGAUUUCCUCGCGUGUUCCUGACCUUUCUGAGCCAUGAAUACUCGCCACGCUACCUUCGGAGUCCGACAUCUCGAUUUCUGCAACAGUUUCAAUUAAAUAAUUUAAUUCGAAUAAAGCACGAUAUGUUAAGGAGGGAUUUGAGAAAGCAGACAAGAUUUUCAUCGAAUGAUCAUUAAACUUUCCAUUUCAAAUUUUCACGCGAGUCGAACAUACAACAUUUUCCCGUAGAAACGCGGUUCUCUCUCUUUCUAUUUGAAACUCGACGCCCCUCAGAAGCUACAACCGUCGGAGACUAUCGGUCGUCGAACUACGAACUUCCAUCAGACUGGAAUCUCUUCGAUCCCCCGCUAGACAGACUACGUGUUCCGACUUGUUUCUCCUUUAACGUUCCCGGUUGACGAAGAGUCGGUGUGACACGCGAUAAGAGGACGUCGUAGGCAAAGUGUUUCUCGAAAGAAGCUGGAAACACGGGGGAAACCAGGAAGACAGAACAAGAGGUCGAGGAAAACUCGUAGAGAAAAGAAACGAACGAUUCGGCGUCAGCAAAUCGAAUCUUCUAGCUUGUUCGUGACGAUGCGGGUAUUAAGUAUCGUAAAUCUAUACGAAUACGAGUGCGGAUAGCUCGAUUUCGAGGAAGGUAGAUGUGAAGAUCCGAAGAUCUCGAAUUUUCCGGUAUACGUCUCGAUAUAUGUUUCGCUCCGAUACUAUGCGUAUCGGAUAGUAUCUUUGACUGUGUGACACAGGAAAAAUCGAAGAUGUACAUGCACGCGCGUGUACCGUCUACAAUCUCCAGAUUUAAUUGGUGGUUGGUUAAAGGUGCGGAUCACGUCGCCUCGACAAACAGCUCCUAGCAACGAGUUGUAGGCUCGUCACGCCUCCAACUGUUUUCUUAUGGUGAAUCUCGCGCCCUUCGCUGCAACCCUCUAUACAUCGAAAGAAGAAAUAAUAAAUACAAACUCCAGCCGAAAGAAACGAGAGAUUCGAUCUCGGGAUGGUUCGUUUCGCGUUCGAGUGAAAGUGCCGUUCCUCUUCGCGUUGUUUUCGUUCCAUAAACCAGUGACGAGGUAGGGUGUACGGUUGGUUGAAUUCGCGGAAAGCAUGUACGUUUGAUUUCCAAACAAAAUGUUUCCCGAAAUUGUCUCGUUUCACGGUGUACCCUUACCUUUCAAUUCGGUUGCUGUUUUCUUUUGCUAGAUGGAACUUCCAGGCUCGACACCUGCUUCGCGUACGAUGGCGCACAUAGAAUUUCGACGUGGGCGUCGUGGCGCCACUUACCGACGAUUUACCAAUCGAACGAGUUGUUUUCUACAUUCGAUGCAUUGCGAGGAAACGAUGGUACUCUCGAAGAUACGAGGUAAUUAAGUAUCUCGGAAUGAAUUCGAGUUACCACCAGAGGUACCCUACGUAAAGAGGGGAGCUAUUAAGAGGUACCUUGUAUAUGUAAUUAUGUCGAUGGUUAUCGCUUUUCUCUGGACGAUACGAGCGUUUAAUUCUCGACGAUAUCGAAUAGAAUUCCGAUAAAAAGUUUAUUCACCAGCGACACGAGAAAGAAAUAUUUUUCAAUGGCACCGAUCCUCUUCGAACGAUUCGAAUUCACCUUUCGAAGAAAAAAGGAAAACGAGCGACAGAAAGGCCAAAAGUCGAUACAACGGAGCAUCUAAUUAAAACCCCUCUAAUGGAAUCCGACGGAUUUCCGCGAGCCCGUCACGGUCGUAUAUAUACGUCGUAAAGUUUCACCGGCCUCCCUCCAUGCAUAAUUCAUAGCCGCCAGGAGGAUGCUGUUCUCUUUUCUUCGGGUUUUUUGCUUGGUCUCCGCGUGACACGCUCGAGAUAACGCCAGACGUCUCUCCCUGUCUUCUUCGCCCGUUUCACCCGAUUUUCCGUUCUCUUUUCUCGUCCUUUUCGAAUGACGUUUCUGCCGAAAAUUACCUAGCAUCGCUCCGAGCCGAGUAAUUUCUACCGCUGAAUCGCAUUAUCAACGAAACGUUUCGGUGCUGGCUGCUGAUACAGACGAGGGACCGGCAAUAAUUCAGCUACAACCGCGACCCAGCUACGAGGGAUCGCUAAUUCUCGCCUGAAUGUUCCAUGCACGGGGACAAUAGAUCGCAGAGAUUAAAGGAUUUUUCGAGAUACCGACACCCGAAUAGCAUUAAUCUUUUAUUUAUCUUUAACGCGCCAGGAUUUCCCGGCUUCCGUUUAACGACCAUUACUUUGUCAAACGACGACCAUUGAUACGGCAGUUUUUUUAUCUGAAAACUUUUCCGUGUUUCGGAUGGAAAAUUGGUUGGCCAACGAAGACGAGAAACGUAUUAAAAACCAACAACUUUACACGACAUAAUCGAUCAAAUAGUCCAUGUUGUAUUAAAACUAUUUACGUAGUCGCUUGCUUUAUAUCGUUAAAUGGUGCGAAGCUGUUGGUAUUUCGAAAUAACAGCGAAUGGAUAGGUCGGACAAAAAGGAAGAAGCGACAGGGAAAGAAUACGAAGGAGGUUCGGGAAGGCAAGAAUUCCGAAAGCUCGUACAGCCUGUAAAAAAAUUCCAUCGUUGACGUGGAUAAAUACGAAUGCUCGACGAUGCAAUUAGCGGUUUCGUUCUCCGACGCGGUAGGACCCUCUCUGGACGUACUGGCAGAGGCGUCGAUUACAGAUGGAAUCCGAAGGAUGAGAAACAACGGUCCCGCGGUAAUUGGAUUUUUUCCCGCUUUCGAAUAGCAACCGCCAAUUCAUUAGGGGUCUGUUUGCGCGGCACGCUUCGAGGACCCUCGAUCGAACCCGUUGCGUUGGUCGAAAACGAGAGUGGAAAUUUACGCGAGCACCGCUCGCUAGAACUGGCUGCGCAAACAGGCCCUUGUGUACAACCGGCCGGCAAACAGCGGAUCCCAUUAAUUGCCAUUAAUUCAGCCGCGUUAUGGAGAAGUUUUCGAGCUCGGUCGGAGAUGAGCUUGCGUAGAAUAUUUCGGCUCUCGAGCCACCCUUCUCGCCCUCUAUCCUCGAAUACUUUCUUCUCUCGAAAGCGGUUCCGUAGCCUUGGGACGUUGUUGCCCGCUUCUAACUUCGUGCCGAUUCUAAUUUUAAUCCGGCUCCACACCUUCCGAAUCUAAAUUUCAAUUUUCAAUUUUCCUAUCCUACGAAUAACGAACAAAUAUUUAUACCCUGGAAAGUUAUCGUUGUCGGAAUUACAAAAUUAUGUUUUUUCAAGCUUCUAACGAAAUUAGAAUUUGUAAUUGUUGAAGCGGUAGGAAGUUGAAAGGUUACAGUGGCAAUAGCAACUGGCAACGAUAAUCGAGCAAUAGCCUAUACAUUUAACCGCGGUCAGAGGGUAAUUUUGAAUCUACGUCGACCCGGUACAGCCCGUACGUUCUUCGUAAAGCUAUUACGAACGACUGACUCUAGCCUGACAAUAAUAACAGUAACAGUAACGCGAAAUCGUGCAAGUCGGAUAUGAAUAUGUAUCAGGUACAUCUGUUGCCUGGUAGUCGUCCCAACGGUGGCGUUAUGAGACGAGAAAGGGUGCAGACGCGAUUCAAUAUCGGACCAGCUCUUUCUUCGCUACGUGCCAGAAGUUACCAACGGGGUUAAUUCUUACCCGGUGCCCCGAGAACCGCAAUACUUUUCUCUCGCUUUCCUUCUUAUGAACGCUUAUAACGCGAUACGACUUGGCUUAGGUCAGAUGGAUCUUUUAAUUAGAGAAAACGCGUAGAUACCGUUCCGAUAAAAUCGUCUGGUCAAAUUACCGAGAGAUCGAAAAAAUCGCUGCGAAAAUUUCGCGUUUAUUAUCCUUCUGAUUAUACCGGUUCUCCCUUCCAAACAAUCAUCUUUAUACAUCUUUCGCGAACGUACGGAGUAGAACGACGAGAUAGACGCAAAGAAAGACCUUAUCAGAUUGGAAUAGGGUUCGUUGCCGUCCUUUCAGUAACAAAUUAAGGAUUUUAAGCCGAAAGUAAUUAGUCUCGGCGAACAAGGUGUCACUCCGUGAAAACGAGGAGACGGAGAGUCAGCCUUCAUUGUUCUCACCAUAAUCUCCGUUCUUUCGCUAGUCUGCAUCGAAGAAAGCGCUUGGAAAAGGAUGAUUUCGCUUUCCGGUCAGAUUAAUCGUCACAUCGACCAACUCCUUUAUUUUCCGUCUGUCUUCUUGGCUACACGAGUCUUUUCUGAAAAGGUUUCUUGCACGCGGAAGAUCCCGUGUAACAAAUAUAACUCGAAAAAAAAUAGAUGAAGAUCGACGUUAUAUUAACGCUAAUAUAACUCUGAAUUUCGAUGCUUUCCGCGAUAAGAAUGAAAUAUUAACCGUUCUAAAAUCGUUUACUUUUUCAACGAACAUAAAAAUUAGAUCACGGAGAAUUCGCAAUUCUCGCAAACUGGUCUUGGUGCAAGAACUGCAAUCAAUUACACGAAACUGAAAAAGAGAUUACCGGAUACGAUCUUUCUCUUCCCUUUGCCACGCUAAGCGAGGAAGGAAGCUGACGCGAUAAUCUUAUUUAUCCUUUCACUCGAGCAAAUGGAUUAUUUCGGGCGGCGCUGAAAGCCUCGUACUCGAAAAUCGCGAAUCCUCUUUAGUUACUCCACGGGCGUAGUUAGUUAAUUAAAAGGUAAAGAGAGGGGAAAAGGACGUGGUUGGCUAGACAGGUUGGGAUUUCUGUCUCGAUCGCGGCGAACAACCCCUUUUCGUUCGUUGCCGCGAUCGAGAAUCCGGAUGCCUGUCCGAUUCAACGAACACUUGAACGCUUUUUUAUUCGCGAUUUUCAUUUCUCUUAUGGAAUAGAUUCGCCGAUAAAUACAGUCUCGGGAUGAAAUUGGCUUUAUUACCGUAUCUUUAAAACUAACGAUAAAUAAAUUAGAAUGCAUAAAAUAUCUGCAUAUUUUCGUCCAAAUACGAGUGACUUUAAAAACCAACAGACUAAUAAAAGCUGAACGAAAAUACUCUGUGCAAUCGCCCCUUGAAUAUUCCACACAGAAACGUAGACAGUGCAGAUUGCACGCGCGUGCGAAUGCAUCGAAACGAGCAGACAAGAGAAAAAGAAAAAAUGAAAAAAGAGAGAGCGAGAGAAAAGAGAGCCUCGACGGUGAAAAUAAGCGACCGAGUUCGAGGGGGUGCGUUUAUAAGCCGCGUGUGCUUUUUUGUAGUGCAAAUGAAUAGGUCCGACCCUCGUGUCCGAAACUUUUGCAAUUUUACGCCGUGGCUGCUCGGUGCAUUCAUUUUCCAGAAAAAUUUAAACUUUUCAUCCCUCUGACUCUUCUCAUUCUUCCAAUUACCAAGUGGAAUGAGAGAGACAGAGAGAGAGAGAAAGAGAAAAAUUUCGAAAUGAAAGUUCGAUGAACACACCUUUUUUCUAUAUGUAUAGAUCGUAUCAUGAAGAUAGAACAAGAAAACACACCAAACUGCUGCGAAACUGCUGCAUUGCAACGAGAUAAAGAGAGAACGUCUCGUCUAUAUCAAUGCAGGGAACGUUGCGAAACGGUUGAAAAGGAAUAUCAACCCCUCCAACCGAUCACGUACUCUUUUCUUCCCCUAGUAUUGAACUCUUCCGCCUCAAGGAACUGCUUUCGAGUCUUCGUUUACUUUGCAUUUCAAUUAAAAUUUCCCCACCCCUUUUCCCUUCCUUCCAACGCAAAAAAAAAUUAUAACUAUCAAAGCACAGAAAUGCUUUAUUGUAUCGUAAAAGAGAACAGGUAAAAAAUGAGAGGUACGUUCUGCUCUUGUUCGCUGGAAUCUUUAUUAUUAAUUUCAGUUUACUAAAAAUAACAAUAUAAUUGAUCUUAUCAAAUACAAUGAAACAGCAAUGUGAAAACGUUUUAAAAAUCAUCUCAGCGCACAAUGUUUUCCUUAUCGAUGCUAAUUAGUCGACAUUUUGUAGAAGCAUACAUAUCGUUCGAAAUAAUUAGAGUAUCAUCCGUACGAAUGAUCCACUAAUUCUUCUAAAUUGUUCUUAAUUAUUAUGAUAUAAUUAAAUCGUUAUCUAUCCCUGAUAAAAUUAGGCACUUAUAUUAAUUAUCUGGCAUGAUUAUGUUGCGUUAUUGCGAUGGAAGUCGACAUGGAUUAUAUAAUAUACAGAAGAAGCAUAAACUUUUUGCUGUUCGCAAAAGUAUCGUAUAUAAAGCACAAAAUCUAUUAUAGAAAAAUUUGUAUCUACAAAAACUGAUAAUUCUUAAGCGCACAAUUGAAGGCAGACUUUUAACAAGCAUUUUAUGUAUGUAUACGUAUACAUAACUGUAUGUUACGUAAUACUUCUCUGUCGAGUAAACAGUUAUGUGCAACUAGGAAGACACUUUAUGUAAAUAUUUACUCUUGAGAAAUAUACAGUUACAGCGAUGAAACAUUACUUUAUGUUUGCACAUAAACUACAGUUGUACUAUUACACCGGUUCAUAAGGCACUACGAGCAUUUGCUUCUUUCAAGGCUAUCACUUAUAGUAAUGAGAACACGAAAAUACAGGACAACUUUCUACGCGCACGUAUUAUU